CUGUCUACUGUAUUAAUCUUUUACCAUACCCAUUAAACAGUAAAGUUAGUAACCACCUACGUCUUACACUACCACCACCACUUGCUMGCAGAUAACUACAUUCGUUUUACGUUGCGUAGAUAAUAUUUGUCAUAGGUAUUUUAACUUUUAGGUUGUACGUACUACGUAGUGCGUAGGUACUAUACCUAUGCUGAUUGCCAAGUGGCCAAUAGUUCAGUACUCAGCGGUGAUUGUGUCAGUGACGACCGAUGAUUGACGAACGACGUUGACGAAAUUAACAAUCCAUUGCGCAGCUCCGCGGACACCAAGCAUAAUAAACGUUCAUAAACAUAAUAUAUUUUUGUGCACAAUGUACAUAAUUUGAUACACACGCACAUUGGAAUACAAUAGAACAGAUAUUUACUUAUUCAAUAUUUAUUGCAUAAUCGUGUCGUGAUCUUUAUUAUCAUUCGUUUUUACUGCGACGCAGUCGAUUGUUUUCGUAUUAAUCUUUUGCGUUUCACCUGCCUACUAAAAAGAACAAUAAAUUCAGUUGGACACAAGUUAUAUCGGUUCGUGCAGUUCAAUACUACCAUCGCCGAUAUUCACUGGUUACGCGCAUAAAAACGCGAUCAUGGCGACCAGGAAGAAGGUUYUGCUGAAAGUGAUCAUAUUGGGAGAUUCGAGUGUGGGUAAGACCUCGCUAAUGAAUCAAUACGUCAACAAGA